rnacentral:other from 1 species
GUCCCUCUGUCUGGUUCGAGCAAGGUCAAACGAUAAGAAUCCCGUACGACCUUUGAUCCUCGGGAGCCACUCUCGAUCGUGGUGAGCAGACCCGGCAAACGUCACCGGGGAGCCUGAAGCGGUCGAUACCGGCGCCCACCUAAGAGGCUUCAGGGGUUCUUUCGAGACCGACGGCUGGAUGGUACGGAC